ensembl:lncRNA
UUUUUUUGUAGCCCUGCGAGUGAAGGCCACAGUAACCACCCUAAUUGCAGCAGCUUUAUUUCCCCUUUACAAAACCACACUCACCCUUGCUAUCUGUGACACUUAUCAUAGCUGCUAAGCCGAUGCUAGGUGCUAAACCACGAGUCCGAUUUUGCGGACACCCUUUUGUACUGUUAAUGUUUCCUGGAAUCGAUGCACUAGAAAGUAAUCAACUAUCAUUGGACCUGUGUGAUUUUGAGUGCCAUCAAUGAUCACAGAGAUGACCAUCAUUAAAGUCUCACAGGGUCUGAGAGCAGGACAAGAGGCCCUCCUGGUUAGCUGUCUGAAGAGGUGAAAAAGACAAGCCUAUUACAUACAGCAACAAAGGAAAGAAGAACAAGCCAUAGCCUAAAAAGUCCAAUUUGUGCUGAUGGAUUGAACAUGUACGUGAAAUGUCUCUGACCAUUAUUUCAAAUGCAUUUUUGUCUGAAUGUCUGCAGGGGCGUGGAAUAAAAAGCUCUAGAAGCAAACGCAGUACACACAAGGAGUGCAUUGUGAUUUGUGUUGGAACAAACAUAUUUACAUGGAAUUAUUUUUUAAAAGUGACACAUCUGAGUGUUUGUUUUUUCCCUUCAGGUUGUCAAGUUUCCUCCCAGCUCCCAAAACCAUGUCAGUAUGUGGGUUGGCUAUAAGAUGCCCCUAGGUGUGAAUGUGUGCCACUGUGUAUGUUUGUAUCCCAUCCAGGGUUUAUUCCCACCUCAUGCCCAGUGUUCUGAGGAUAGGCUCUGGAUCCACUUUGACCCCGAUCAUGAUAAAGCACUGACUGAAGAUGAGUAAGUGUCUGUGACUGGUUGACUGGGUGACUAUCUGGAGACACAGUGCUUAUGAUUAAACAGCGGUGGAUGCAGAGCCAUGAUGCAACACUUCCAGCUGCCAUAUCUCACUAUUUUGGCUUAUCUAGC